GGCCAUCAGAGUAACUAAACAUGGAAUUUGCAUUUUAAAAAAUCUCUCACCCAGCCCCCUCACUUCCAUCUGGCCCCACCAGGGCUCUGAUGGGCACAAGGGUGGCUAACACAGUGAUGCCCCAGGUCUGUGCUCCUUGGCAAGCUCAAGGAGGAUACGUGGUUGGCAUUCCACAGCCAGGCUGUGGAGGGAUGUGAAUGUGGGAAGGUGGUAUCUGGUUCUGAUAUGACUUUCACAGAGACC